CAUUAUUUUGAGAGCCAAAAUUAUUGAUUAAGUUGUUGUGUUCUUGAGCUAUAUCAUUUGUACUCAUAAUCCACUCUUUUGAGAGAGUUUUUGUAAAGUGAGUAAGAGAGUGUUUCUUUGUGAGCACUUGUAGCAAGAAGGAGUGUUGUAUUUCUUCUUGGGAAGUCUUAGGGAUAGGUUCCUUAAGCAGGUUGUUUUGAGGCUUGUGUUGUAUCAAGUUCUCAAGUUGUAAAGGUUCGUUAGGCACCCGGAAGCUUAACAAUCGAAGUCUUUGAGGUGAGGAACCUCCGAGCAAGUGUUUGAGACUUGUGUGAUUCAAGUCUCAAGUGUAAAGGUUUGUUGAGCACCCGUAAGCUCGACACGGUUGUAGUGGAAAUCUCGAGAGAGUCUCUCGGGGACUGGACUAACCACAAGGUGUGGCGAACCAGUAUACAUCGGUGUGUUGCUUUCUUGCUCUCUUUUAUUUCCUGCAGUAUUUUUAUUCUUGCAACAGAUUUUUUAAUUCCGCAUAAUUCUCGUAAAACGCUAUUCACCCCCCCUCUAGCGUAGAGCACAUAUCCUAACAUAAUAGAGGAAUUUUCAUCCUUACCGACCGAUCCGAUGCCGAUGAUUUUUCCUUUAUUGUUAUCACCGAAAAUGACGCUUCCUCCUUCUUUGUGCUCUAGUUGAAGGAAUUUGGAUUCAUCUCCCGUCAUAUGUUUGGAGCAUCCACUAUCAAGGUACCAUAGUACACUUGCCCCCCCUCUAGCGUAGAGCACAUAUCCUAACAAUUGGUAUCAGAGCUUAACUCUCUGUAAGCCUUAACCGGGUGAGAGAAAGAUCUAUAUCGUUUCUGUUGAGAAUGUUGAAUGCAGGAUCAAAAAGCAUAGGUGACUCCAUCUAUUUGCCUCCAGUAUUUGAUGGCAGCAACUAUGCAUAUUGGAAGGACCGGAUGAGAGUUUUCAUCCAAGCAAACGUCUUCCGUCUUUGGCAAACCAUAAAGUAUGGUGAACUAAUGACGAAGAAAGUUGGAGAAGCCAUGGUGAGUGAAUACAACACCAAGGCGAUAAAUUUGCUGUACAGGGCUGUAAAUCAGGAAGAUUGUCGGAAAGUCUCCCACUGCAAAACUGCAAAAGAGGUGUGGGACAAACUUGAGGAUAUUUAUACUCCUCAGGAAACGAGCUGUUCGUGUGAUGAACGAAACACACGAUGUCUUAUGGCAGACGGAGUAGAAGAGGUAAGUACUUCUAACUCUUAUUCUUUUGAAGAGUUACAAGAGGCCUUUAACGAUUUAUUCUGUGAAUUGAAAAAGGUUUCAAAAAUCGCUAGAGAAGCUACUGCUAAAGCAAAAGCUUUUGAAGAUGAAAAUCAUUUUCUGAAAAAUGAUAAUGAUGAUCUUAGAGAUAAGAUUAAGGCGAUGAAUGAAAUUUUCUCGAGUAAUAAAUGCUUUACUUGUUUAUCAUGUGAUUCUCUGAAAUCUGAAAUUUCAGAACUUAGGAGUACAUUAGAAACACAUAGUGUAGACAUUCUUAAGACUGUUGAAGAAAAGAAAAAGCCUAAGAAAAAUAGAAGGCGUAAAAACAGGAAUCUCGUUAGAAAUCCUACUGUACCACCUAGAAAUAAUUCUAGGGCAUUAAAUGAGUCUAGAACAAACAAUUUUAGACCACCUAGACAUUACGCUAGAAUGUAUGAAAACAAGUCUAGAACUAACGUUUUUAGACAACCUAGACCCGAAUCUAGGAUCUUUGUAAACAAGCCUAGAAAUAAUAAUUUUAGGCAGCAUUCUAGGAACGAGUUGAGACAACCUAGAAAUGAUACUAGGUUCUUUAAUAAGUCUAGAAUUAAUAAUUUUAGACCGCCUAGAUAUAAUACUAGGAAUUGGACAAAUGAGUCUAGAGUUAACCACUUUAGAUCACCUAGAAACAAUUCUAGGAUUGUUGUCGACAAGUCUAGGAUGAAUCAUGCUAGACCACCUAGAAAUGACUCUAGGAUUUUUAACACGUCUAGGAACGACUCUAGAUCGCCUAGAACGUUUUUGGCUCAACCUUGGCAUAGACACAACCCAAAUGUUGUUUGCCAUUACUGCAAUCGUGUUGGUCACAUUGCUCCCGUUUGUUUUGCUAAACAUAGGGAUUUAUCUUAUGGUUAUAAUUAUUAUUUGCCUAACCCCAAAGGACCCAAAAAGAUAUGGGUACCAAAAACCUCUCCAUAGGUAUUUUUGCAGGUGUGCUUGAAGACUACAAAAUUGUAGUAGAUGCACCAAGCACGACACCAAAAUGCAUCAAAGGGAAUUUCGGUUAUAUGGGUACCAAAAACCUCUCCGUAGGUAUUUUUGCAGGUGUGCUUGAAGACUACAAAAUUGUAGUAGAUGCGCCAAGCACGACACCCUAAAGGCAUCGAGAGGAAUUUCAGUUAGCUAUUUUUUGAUAAAACCGAAAAUGUGCAAAUAAUUAAUGUUGACAGAUUUGUUGAUAUAUGGCAGCUCUUGUUAUUAACAUAUAAGUUGUUAACUUGAUUCUCACUUUGAAAAAUGUUGAUGUGCUGAAUUGCAAUAAUUGAUAUGUGAGAUUGCAUUGUUGACUAUCAUUGUUGAUUGACAUGCUGAAAAUCUGUUUUUGAUUACUAGUAUCAACUAUUAAAUGUUUGAUCCAUGUUUUGACAAAUGUUGAUUCUUGUAUUGAAUAAGCAUCUACUAGAAUCAUUCAUAGUUAAUUCAUGUUUUGGUAAUCUAUUUCAAACAACAAGUGAUAUUAUGUUUAUUAAUAUAUGUUUUGAUAAAUGCUCUUCAAAAUAACAAUUGGUAUUCUUUUUAAAUAUUUAUGUGAUAUGUUUUGUUGAUAUAAUUGAUAAAUUUGUAGCAAUCUUCUUAUUGUAUGUUCCUCAAUACCCUUCUUAUUCUAUUUGUGAAUAUGGUAAAAUGAAGUAGCCUUCAACUUCUUGCUAAAAGAAGAAAUGUUUAGGCGAUUUGUUUCAAGUAAGAAGGAAUGUCGUAACAUUCUAAUUUGCCUUACUUGAGGAGGAAUUUGUUCUUCAAAGAAUAGAUUGCAUGAAUUUCAUUGAUGAUAUUCUCUUAACAAUAUCUCUUGUAUUUCAAAAAUGGUGAUGAUAUUAUUGUGAUGUUUCAAAAAUAAUCUGUUUUGAAUUUCGUGUUUCAAAUAUAUUUCUUGUUGAUGAUCUUAUUUCAAAAUGAAUUUUAUGGUGAUAAUUUUUGAUGUUUUGAAUUUCGCACUUCAAAAUAAAUUUGUGCGUUGUUUUUGUUGAUGAUCUUUAUGUGGUUGAUGAUGACAUCUUUUGAUAUGUCAAAAAUGUUUCUAUUUGAUAAAAUUAUUUUGGAGCCACUAAUAUGCUAGCAUGAAGUAUAAUUCAAUAACUAGCAAAUUGUGAUGUCAAUGAUGGAGGAUGACACCAAGACAUUCCGGGUAUGAUCGUUCCUUACUCUACCCUAUUGCUAGUAGAAUUUGAUAUUAUGUUUAGCAAGUAUUGAUAUGAUAGUUAUAUAUCAUGUCCAUGUUCAAAUAGAUCACGUUCUCGAAGGCGAUGUCGAAAUUGAGUAUUCAAUCGACUGACAUCUUCAUCAAGCCUUCAGAUUAAGAGUUGUUCUUCCGUAUUCUUAGUGAACUCGGAAUUCUUGACUCUAUGUUGAUCAAAUGCAUACAUGUAUGUUGCAUUCAUCUUUUGAAUAUUGCAUUUUUGCAGAGAUAUCCUCAUAGAUAGAAUAUAUUUGUGAUUAAUAUUGAAGUGUUUUGAUGAAAUGCAUACUUGAUUAUGUGUAUCAAUUGUGUUAAGUUUUAAUUUCAUAACAAUUGGUACUUAUGUGCAUUCAUGUUUCAUAAAAUCGUUUAUAAAAAUGGUUUUUUUUUUCAAACUCUAAAAAGUUAUUAUCUUCUACCAUAUAUUGAUGGCAUUGUCUCAGUCCAUAAUCAAUUGUCAUACUUCUAAAAUUGAUUAUUAUAUAUCCAAAAUCGAUUGGCAUACUUCCAUAAUCGAUUUCCAGGACUUAAAACGUUUUUGGCCUAGUCCACAAUCGAUUGUUCAUAGGCACAAUCGAUUGUCCGUGUUUUUCUGAGUUUUUGAUAACUCUGUCUCUUGCCAAUUUUUUAGAAACUAAGUGUUGAACAGCCUAACAAUCGAUUGUUCUAUUCUCACAAUCGAUUGUCAAUGGUAAAAAUUCAAAAAUUUGUUACCGUUCUGAAUUCUGAACUUGACAGUAAUCAAUUAUCAUCUUGUCAGUUCAAAAUAGGCUUAGUCACUCUUGUUUAAGAAUUUUCUUUCAAAAAAGUCCAUAAAAUUUAGGCUCUUCAAAUAGUUCUUCUUGCCUACAUUCUUAAAUGGCAAAUUGAAGUUUCCAAACGUUCUCGUGCUUCUUCAAACCCUCCUCCAUCUCUACAUUGUUAUGAUGAUGGAUCCAUUCUUUGGUUUGAACAAGAAAAUGAGAUAUAACGUUUUAUUCAAAUAUUUGAAAAUCGAGCCAUUCUUCCACCUCGAUUCACAACCGCUAAAUAUCUCGCGGAUUUUUCUUCAUUCCAACAUACUUCUCCAAAGUUCAACUCUUAACUUUGUUGAUUUGAAGUAUGAUCUCUUUCAUCCUCUUUUGAUUCAAGUCCUAUUCGAAUCUUAAGAAAAAUGAAAAUGGAAUCCUUUCUAAUUGUAUUCCUAUUCUUCUUAGUGAAGAAAAUAUUCAAGUCAUCACAAAUUUUUCUUCGUGAUGGACAAGACAUCAAUUAGUAGACCAUGUCGUAGGAAUACUCGAAGCGUCUCAAAUCAUUACCAAUGUUGGUUUCAAGAAAACUCAUACCAAACAUUGAGAAAGUCAAGAGAACUCCUUUUUAUGACCAUAGGAUCAAAUUCAGAAUCCUCCUCCUUCAAAAUUCAAGCUUGUCGUCCUCGUGCUCAUCUGGAUGUAUCUCAAACAUCUUGGAUCAUCUUGCUUCUCUUUCAACUUCAGUAAAUCAAAUUGAUAGAAUUGUCCCAUUCGAGACAGCGCCAAACACCAUGGCCGAAGAUGAUGAUGAUGAGGAAUAAAUAUUUUCUUGGCUGUUAUGUUAUAUCUUUAUUUCUGCCAUGUUAUUAUUAUAAAAUUAUAUUUUUGUCAAAAGGGGGAAGUUAUGCAACUUGUCAAAAAGGGGAAUUAUAUUUUUCUCUAACCACCUCUUAUUUAUGUCAAAAGGGGGGAAGUUGUGCAACUUGUGAUCCUAACCUUUUUUCUAGCCUUUUUGCUAAUGUCAAAAGGGGGAAGAUUAAGGGUAUAGGGUAUAUGCAUAUCCAUUAAUCUCUAUACUUUGGGGGAAGAUUAGGGUAUAUGCAUACUUACAUGUCUACAUGCAUUCUUUAUAAGGGGAAGAUAUAUGCAUGUUUAUGAUGUUUAUGAUGUUGCAAGUCUUUGAAUAUUUGUUGCAUACAUUUAGGGGGAAUCAUUAUUUGAGGGGGAACAUAUCUUGAACUGCUAUUAUGCAUACUGUCAUUUGAACUGUUAUUAAUAUGCAUAUCCCGAUACUUGUUUGCCAUUAUCAAAAAGGGGGAAAUUGUUGGAAACACGUUCUCGAACUAACGUGUGUUGAUCUAUGUAGGUUUUGAUAAAUGCCAAACCAACCAACGAGGAUGAAACAUUAACAAUCAAGUACAAGAAAUCAGUGCGGAACCAAGAAUCGCAACGAAGAUUAUAGUUGUGUUUAUUGUUGAGUCAUUUUAUUUUGUAAUCUUGACUCAACGACUUAUUUCUAAUAUUGGCUCUCUCAUAAAAUCAUUUUAUUAAAUUACUUAUAUCACAAAAUCUACCAUUUUCAAAUAUCUUGACCGAAUACACAGUGUAUAUCAAGGGUAUAUCCAAGGUAUAUAAUUUUCGAAAACAAUUUUUAAAGUCAAGAUUCGGUGGUUGAAAAAUUGUUGAAAAUUAAUUUUACAAAGCUCAAGACUCAAUUAUUAUUUAGAAAAUCACUCCUUCAAUUAGGGAUUUGUUGUUGAAUUUGUUAUCACAAAAUCUACCAUUUUCAAAUAUCUUGACCGAAUUAUUGAAAAUUAGGCAACGGUUUGAUUCCAUUUUUUGCUAUAAAUACACCCCUGAAAUGCUCUUCAAAAAGCACAACAACUGAGCGAAAAUCUGAUAUUACAUACAUAUUAUUUUUGCAAUCUUUUAUCAUUCCAAAAUUCAUAUUUGAGAGCCAAAUUAUUGAUUAAGUUGUUGUAAUCUUGAGCUGAAUAUUUUGUACUCAUAUCCACUCUUUCAGAGAGUUAUUGUAUAAGUGAGUAGUGAGUGUUUUUGAAAACACUUGUUGUAAGAGGGAAAAUUGUAUUCCUUCUGUGAAGUCUUAGGGAUAGGGUUCCUUAAGCAGGUUGUUUGAGGCUUGUGUUGUAUCAAGUUCUCAAGUUGUAAAGGUUCGUUAGGCACCCGGAAGCUUAACAGGAAAGUCUUGGGGUGAGGUAUCCUCAAGUAGGUGUUUGAGACUUGUUCGAUUCAAGUCUCAAGUGUAAAGGUUUGUUGAGCACCCGUAAGCUCGAC
rnacentral:lncRNA from 1 species